GAUGAACGCUGGCGGCGUGCCUAAUACAUGCAAGUCGAGCGAACAGACGAGGAGCUUGCUCCUCUGACGUUAGCGGCGAACGGGUGAGUAACACGUGAGUAACCUGCCCUUGACUUUGGGAUAACUUCAGGAAACUGGGGCUAAUACCGGAUAGGAUCUCCUGCUGCAUGGUGGGGGUUGGAAAGUCUCGGCGGUUGGGGAUGGACUCGCGGCUUAUCAGCUUGUUGGUGGGGUAGUGGCUUACCAAGGCUUUGACGGGUAGCCGGCCUGAGAGGGUGACCGGCCACAUUGGGACUGAGAUACGGCCCAGACUCCUACGGGAGGCAGCAGUGGGGAAUAUUGCACAAUGGGCGGAAGCCUGAUGCAGCAACGCCGCGUGCGGGAUGACGGCCUUCGGGUUGUAAACCGCUUUCGCCUGUGACGAAGCGUGAGUGACGGUAAUGGGUAAAGAAGCACCGGCUAACUACGUG
rnacentral:rRNA from 1 species